CCUACGGGAGGCAGCAGUGGGGAAUAUUGGACAAUGGGGGCAACCCCGAUCCAGCCAUGCCGCGUGUGUGAAGAAGGCCCUCGGGUUGUAAAGCACUUUCAGUGAGGAAGAACGCCUGGUGGUUAAUACCCAUCAGGAAAGACAUCACUCACAGAAGAAGCACCGGCUAACUCCGUGCCAGCAGCCGCGGUAAUACGGAGGGUGCGAGCGUUAAUCGGAAUUACUGGGCGUAAAGCGCGCGUAGGUGGCUUGAUAAGCCGGUUGUGAAAGCCCCGGGCUCAACCUGGGAACGGCAUCCGGAACUGUCAAGCUAGAGUGCAGGAGAGGAAGGUAGAAUUCCCGGUGUAGCGGUGAAAUGCGUAGAGAUCGGGAGGAAUACCAGUGGCGAAGGCGGCCUUCUGGACUGACACUGACACUGAGGUGCGAAAGCGUGGGUAGCAAACAGGAUUAGAUACCCCUGUAGUC
rnacentral:rRNA from 1 species